rnacentral:rRNA from 1 species
CCUACGGGAGGCAGCAGUGGGGAAUAUUGCACAAUGGGGGGAACCCUGAUGCAGCGACGCCGCGUGGGUGAGGAAGUACUUCGGUAUGUAAAGCUCUAUCAGCAGGGAAGAAAAUGACGGUACCUGACUAAGAAGCCCCGGCUAACUACGUGCCAGCAGCCGCGGUAAUACGUAGGGGGCAAGCGUUAUCCGGAUUUACUGGGUGUAACGGGAGCGUAGACGGCAUGCCAAGUCUGGUGUGAAAGGCCGGGGCUCAACCCCGGGACUGCCUUGGAAACUGGCAUGCUGGAGUGUCGGAGGGGCAAGCGGAAUUCCUGGUGUAGCGGUGAAAUGCGUAGAUAUUAGGAGGAACACCGGUGGCGAAGGCGGCUUGCUGGACGAUAACUGACGUUGAGGCUCGAAAGCGUGGGGAGCAAACAGGAUUAGAUACCCUAGUAGUC